AGACGAAUCUAUUAAGCCUAAUUAGUCCAUGAUUUGACAAUGUGGUGCUACAGUAACCAUUUGCUAAUGAUGGAUUAAUUAGGCUUAAUAGAUUCGUCUCGUGAUUUAGCCUAGGGGUUCUGCUAUUAGUUUUGUAAUUAGCUCAUGUUUAAUCCUCCUAAUUAGCAUCCGAACAUCCGACGUGACAGGGCUAAAGUUUAGCCCUUG
rnacentral:lncRNA from 1 species